rnacentral:tRNA from 1 species
GCCUUCGUGGUGUAAUGGUAGCACUACCGGCGCGUAUACAAAAUGUCCAGGUUCGAGUCCUGGUGAGGGCA